AUCCAGCUGACGAAUCCGGAAUAGGACGAAACGUGUAUCAUGGAU
rfam:Schistosoma curassoni strain Dakar, Senegal genome assembly, scaffold: SCTD_scaffold0006790